UACAGAGGGUGCGAGCGUUAAUCGGAAUUACUGGGCGUAAAGGGCGCGUAGGCGGUGUAUUAAGUUAGAUGUGAAAUCCCUGGGCUUAACCUAGGAACUGCACCUAAUACUGGUACGCUAGAGUGCAGUAGAGGGUAGUGGAAUUUCCGGUGUAGCGGUGAAAUGCGUAGAUAUCGGAAGGAACACCAGUGGCGAAGGCGGCUACCUGGACUGACACUGACGCUGAGGCGCGAGAGCGUGGGGAGCAAAC
rnacentral:rRNA from 1 species